rnacentral:rRNA from 1 species
GUUGAUCCUGCGGGAGGUUGCUGCUAGGGGGAUUCGACUAAGCCAUGCAAGUUUUCUCGCAAGAGAGGCGAAAUGCUCAGUAACACGUCGUUAACAUGCCCUUUGGUCAGGGAUAAGCACGGGAAACUGUGUGUAACACCUGAUACGAGAACCAAUCUGCAAUGAUGGUUCUUGCGAAACUCGUGCCAAAGGAUUGGACGGCGGCGGAUUAGGCUGUUGGCGGUGUAACGGACCACCAAACCUACAAUCCGUACGGGCCUUGAGAGAGGUAGCCCGGAGAGGGACACUGAGAUACUGGUCCCAGCCCUACGGGGUGCAGCAGGCGCGAAACCUUUACAAUGCACGCAAGUGUGAUAAGGGGAUCCCCCGUGCUCAUGCACAGCAUGAGCUUUUGCUAAGUGUAAAUAGCUUGGCGAAUAAGUGGUGGGUAAGACUGGUCCAGCCGCCGCGGUAACACCAGCGCCACGAGUGGCAACCGCGAUUAUUGGGCCUAAAGCGUCCGUAGCCGGUUUGGUAAAUCCUUUGUGAAAUUGUGCAGCUCAACUGUACAACGUGCAAGGGAGACUGCCAAGCUCGAGACCGGGAGGAGUCAGAAGUAUUCCAGGGGGAGCGGUAAAAUGUUAUAAUCCCUGGAGGACUACCUGUGGCGAAGGCGUCUGACUAGAACGGAUCUGACGGUGAGGGACGAAAGCCAGGGGAGCGAACCGGAUUAGAUACCCGAGUAGUCCUGGCCGUAAACGCUGUGAGCUAGGUGUUGCAUCAAUUACAUGUUGAUGCAGUGUCGAAACGAAGAUGUUAAGCUCACCGCCUGGGAAGUACGGUCGCAAGACUGAAACUUUAAGGAAUUGGCGGGGGAGCACCACAAGGGGUGCGGCGUGCGGUUUAAUCUAACUCAACGCAGAGAACCUUACUAGAAGCGACGGCAGGAUGAAGGCCAACUUGAAGAGUUUGCCUGACAAGCCGAGAGGUGGUGCAUGGCCGCCGUCAGCUCGUGCUGUGAAGUGUCCAGCUAAGCCUGGCAACGAGCGAGACCUGUAUUUGCAAUUGCUAACAGCAACAUGUUGGACUGAGCACUUUGCAAAGACUGCCCUGGAAACAGGGAGGAAGGUGCAGGCUACGGUAGGUCUGUAUGCCCCGAAUCUUCUAGGCUACACGCGCGCAACAAUGGUAGGGACAAUGGGAUGCAACUCCGAAAGGAGAAGCUAAACCUCUAAACCCUAUCCAAGUCCAGAUCGAGGCUUGCAACUCAGCCUCGUGACGACGGAAUCCCUAGUAAUCAGAAGUCAUCAUCUUCUGGUGAAUAUGUCCCUGCUCCUUGCACACACCGCCCGUCAAAUCAACCGAGCAGGGUUUCGGUAAAACCUAGUUUUUUGAUUAGGCUGAAUCGGAGCUCAGUGAGGUGGGUUAAGUCGC